UACGGGGGGGGCAAGCGUUGUUCGGAAUUACUGGGCGUAAAGGGCCAGUAGGCGGCCAACUAAGUCCGACGUGAAAUCCCCAGGCUCAACUUGGGAACUGCGUCGGAUACUGGAUGGCUUGAAUUCGGGAGAGGGAUGCAGAAUUCCAGGUGUAGCGGUGAAAUGCGUAGAUAUCCGGAGGAAUACCGGUGGCGAAGGCGGCAUCCUGGACCGGCAUUGACGCUGAGGAGCGAAAGCCAGGGGAGCAAACGGG
rnacentral:rRNA from 1 species